CUGUGUAAUAUCGGUCGCCCACGUUAACAUUGGCUCGCGUCGCAGGGUCACAGCGUCGGUCCGAGGGACUCUUCGCGGUGCAAGCGUGAAUGCACCGGGAGGUAUGCGAGCGGGAAACUGGAAUUGCGUUUUCUUCAUUCCCUCGCGCGCAGCGCGGUGCGGCGCGGAUCAAUUAUAAAGCGUACGCGAGCGAACGAGCGAGCGAGCGAACGAGCGCGAGCGGGUAAUACGGAGUGUCAGUCGGCGUUUACAUUCGCUCCUUCUCGCGGGACGAGCGCGAACACGAGGAUGAAGACGAUGAGAGCCUGAACGGCCUAACGACUAGGAGUAACAAGUGCUGCAGACUUAAAGCUUUCACGGCCAUUGACGUUGCUUCCAAUAGAAAGGGCUUCCGGAUACAUGCUGCGUCCUACGUUACAGCGUUGCACCGAUGUUUCGCAAACAGCAAUUUACAUCAUCAGGGCUAGGAGCUCCGAUACUGAGAUCUCUUGGAUUGUAAUUGUCCUUAUAUACCCCUUGUCUUGACAAAAAGCAUGUGCAGCUAAAAAAAUGUACAUCACUUGACAUCCAUCUCAAUUACCACACGUUAUAUCUACGAGAAACUAACAUUAAAGCAACAUUGAAGAAAGCUUCAGCAUCUACCUCAUGUAACAGACGAACAAGUAGUGAAGCAUGAAAUUUUUAUUUUAGUAAUUUUUAUUUUUGUUUCUUUUGUGGCAGUGAUAGCAUCAGACGAUUACAUAGCUAAUGCAUCAAAGAAUAAACGUUCUGUAGUUCGACUUGUGGCAAAUAAUGAUACUGGCAUUAAAAUUUUAGAGACUAUUAUAAAACAAUCUGAUAACAAUAAAUGGUAUAACAGUAUCGGAUAAUAAUGAACGGUACGGAACGAUAUAUUCUCGAUUAAAUAAUGUAUCGGACUUAAAAGAACAGCGUGCGCGUUACCAUGAUCGGUGUAUGACGCGAUUUUAUAAUUAUCGACUGACUAAUAUUCCAGGACCGACUAAUAUUCCUAUUCCGAUAUAAUGUCUACUACUAUGCAAUUUAUAAUUAAUUACUUAUUGGAAAAUGCCGACAAAUGGCAAUUUUCAUUAAGAUAUAUUCUUGAACACCAUAAAACAGAAAAAAAACUUGAUCUUCGAUUUAUCUGUAAUAAAUUGCGCAAACGUUUCGGCAAUGACAUUAUUAUUGUUGCUGUGAAGAAUGAUUAUAUAAUUUCUUUCUUUGACGUCAGAGGUAAAAUUCUUUCUGACUGGUAUCAAAACCGAUUACAAAAUGAAGAAGAGGAACGUAGGAGAAUUGAAAUGUGGCACACAUAAUUCUUCAAGAUAUUCGAGGGCAUUAUUAUGAUAUUAAAAAUUAUCCUGCUCCAAAUUGUUUUUUAAAAGACGUUAAUUCCAAUGUGCCGCCUAAUUUAAAAUUAUUUCUUGAUAUUCUCAUAAAAAGUAAUAAAAAAUCUGAUGAUUGUAAAUGGAAUAAUAGGGUCUCUGCAUACAUUAUUUAUAUCGCUAAUUUUGUUAGGCUUGUCUUCCAUGUUACACAGCAAACAUGCAUCAAGAAACCUUAUUAAUUCAUUAGCUCAUAUCGGAAUUGCUCGUCAUACAGUGAAACUUUACUUUUUCAGGCAUCAAUUGUGCAAAACCCUCAGCCGUAUAAUCUUAACGAUUCUUAUCUCCAAUUUGUUUUCAACAAUGCUGGUCAUAAUACAAAUACCAUCGAUGGUCAGAAUACUUUUCAUGCUAUGGGCGGUAUAAUGUGUGUUACACUUUCUUCAUCAGUCACAUGCAAUAAAAAAGUUAAAAAAUUAAAAAAUAUUCCGUCUGCACAUAAAAUCGGUAAAUUUGGUUUCAUUAAUCUUAAGCAAUUUGAGAAACGUAAUUCUUUAGGCCUCAAUAAUAUUGUAAUAAAAAAUUUUAAUAUCGAUAAUCAAAUUUCGCAAAACUUUGAAAUAACUUAUACUGAUUUUUUAUGGUUUUAUGGAAAACACGCGAAACUAGGAAGAAUGACUGAUUGGAAUGGUUGGAUGGAGCAAAAAUGCGCGAAUAUGCUUUAUCUAAAAUUAUUCCUUUACCAUUUGUUAAUGCACCGCCUAAUAAUUAUAAUACGAUUUUGACAGUAUUGAUUGAAGCCGAUCGAAGGUGUAAAGAUAAUAAUCAACGGUAUACAUUUGUUACAUUUGAUCAGCCACUUUAUCUAAAAGUUCGAAAAAUUAUAGCUUGUUCAAAUGAAACUAAAAAUGAGUACAAUUUAAAUUCAGUAAUUGUCAAACUUUGUGAUUUUCAUGCAUUAAUGUCAUUUCUUGGCUUGAUUAGUUUUAUUAUGGAAGGGAGGGGAUUAAAAGAAGCUCUUUCUGAAAUAUACGCCGAGAACGCAGCUGAAAAAAUUUUAUCUACGCGUUUUCAAGAGCAGUUAGAGGUCAUAUUCUCGUUCAAAAUGCUUUAGCAGAUAUCAUUUUAUCUUCUCUAAAUCUUUCUGAAAUUGAAUUAAAGAUAUUAAAUGAACUGUUAAGUAAAAUGGAUCAGACUGAUUUUGGAACUCUUAUUGAAAACGAUGAUUUUCAACAGAUUAAAAGUAAGUUUAUAUUGCAAUUACAAUUACUUAAAAAUAAUGGACCAACGGUUCUCUUAUGGAUUAAAUAUUUUAUAAUGAUGGAAAUUGUGAAAUAAUUUAUACAAGUAGAAAAAACGGGAAUUUGGCCGCUACAUCUGAAAUGUAUGCAACAAAUGUUGCUAUUUUUUCAUGUAAGCGGACACAAUUUAUAUGUGAAAUCAAACCAUUUAUAUUUACAAGAUAUGCUUGAACUUGAAAAUGUAAUGGAUAUUUUUGAAUUUGAUAAAUUUUGUUGUUUAUAAUUAAAGGUCAUUUUAUAAUUAAACGCACAGAUAAAUAUCGGACAGGUAUUUGGUCAGAUAUGACUAUCGAGCAAAUGCUUAUGAAAUCAAUGAAAAUCAGCGGUAGUUUAACACAUAGUCGCGGAAUAACAGACAGCGUACUAUACAAAUGGAUUUUAUGUAUGAUUGUAUUGGUAGAAAUUUCAAAUAUAAUGGAAAAUUUUUGUAAUGUAUCGUAUUCGACUUCUGAGUAGCAUAUCGAUACAAGUAUGUCGAGAAUAUCUAGAGACAUUGCAGAUUCAAAAAAAUUGUUAGAAUUUUUUAAAGUUCAUGAUCCAUUUUCUGUAACAACUAAUAUUAUUUCUACAAGCACUGGCGUUGUUGGCGGCAAUAUAAAUUGUCAUAAAGCACUAGAAAUCGGCAUUUCUUUUCUAAAUAAAAUUGUUGGUAAAAAUUUCGACACAGUUAAAUUCAAAAACAAAAAUAAAGUACUAUCUUUAAAAGCGGUCUAUUCAUCAAUUAAAAUAAAUAACGAAAUUGUGGCAAUUAAUCGAACUUUAAUUUUUCAACGAAUUUCAUUGAACAUUGAAA